UCAAAUCCUUUCCACUCCAUGACAAAUCCUGGGUCCUGGGAAUAUGAAACAAUUGUGGAACCUGGAAAUCAGACUGUUCAAAGGGAAAUGAGUUGUGUGACUGUAAAUAAACUGUCUGUUUCUGGCUGCCAUGUAAUUGUUACAUUCUUUCCUUUAAUUUGGUGCAUCAGUGGUAUACCAUGAGAACAAGUUUUCAACAGUUUAGAUAACAGACAAACAAAAGCUUUCUUCAAAUAAACUUUUCAAAAGUCCAGGCAUGGUUUAUAAUACAAGUAUUAACUGUUGACACAGAAAUCACAUUGUUGAUACACAGCAGGUCAGCGUCUCUUAAUGAUGGUGUUGUGUCCUAAUGACUUUAAUGGACUCCAGUAUAACUAACAGUGUUUUCACUUGUUGAAUUCUACAAGAGCACUGAACUUCAAUUUUCAUUGUUCUUAGCUGGGGCAAAAAAUUUACUGGUUAAACUGUAUUGCAUAUAUCAGAUAAUAAAUAUCAAUAUGUCAUUUAUUUUGUCUUUUAAGUUUGGUAGAAUUUAUAGCUCACAUAUGUAUUUAGCUAAAGUAUUUUUUUAAACAAAAACUUGUCUCAAUCAGUCACUGUGAGAGUGAUUUCUUAGGAAAUUAAAUGUAAGAAACCAGUUAAAAAUAAAACAGUGGCAAUAACUAAUUAAUUUGAGUUUAGUUUAUUAGCUUCUAAAACAUAAGCAGAAUAAUGUUGCUGUGCUUUUAUGUGUUCAUAUCUUCACACACACAAAACUAUGUAUUUAAACAGUAUAAUUUGUUAGUGAUGAAUCAUGAAGCUUUGCACUUCCAGUCAAGUUCAUGAAUCAGAGCCACAGAUUUAGGUUUUCAACCACACGGCUUAUUAUAAAGUUAUUCAGUGCAGUUGUGCAAACCUGGAGCUUGUUUCAUAAUGAAAAUUCAAGGGAUUUAGACAGUGGAAACAAGCCUGUUCUGGCAGCUUUUUUCUCUCUUCAAACGUCUGUGGAACUAUUCAGUGAUCAAAGCUUGCUGCUGAAUGUUUUUCUUUCCUGUGCUGGCGAAAGUUUGACCAACGUCCCUAAUAGAGACAUUUCAGUAGGUCCUUUCACUCAGUGGUUCACAUUCUUCACAUUCCAGCUAGGUGACACAGAUAUCAUGAUACACAUGCACAAACAAACACACAGAGGUGGACACGGCUAUCUACUAUGUGAAAACUCACAUUCGAUAGCACUGAUUUUCAAACGAAGCUUUACCAAAGAAUUUGCACUGCCUGUAAAGUCAUUUUAAAUUGGUGAAAGAUCACUAUAAAUGACAAAAUACAAAAAUAAGCAUGCACAAACAAAAUGUGUAAAUGUAAUUUCAUGCAUACUAAACAACCAUUUGGCCCUAAAUCAUGUGGUACAAUUCAUCUUUAGUUACACGAUUAAGAGCUGGUUUUCUUCUUUAGGUCAGCUUUAGCUGUGUGAUUUGGGAGAACUGGAGAAGUGAGCCCCAUUUUCUUUUGCACUGUACAUAUUAUUUAGAAUGUACAUUUUGCAUGAAAUGGCUGAAGUAUUCAGGUGUACAGAUGAUCAGAAAUUUUAAUUGUAAAUUGCAAAGUUAAUUAACUUUGUCUCAAAAGCCUGAAAAAGAAGGUGACAUAGGCUAUUUCAUUAGAAUUUACUCUCAUUUCUCCAGCACUGUAUGGUAAAUGGCUUUGUCAGUUAUUUCUAAAUUUAGUUGUAGACAUGAAGGUCUGAACACAAAAGUACUCAAACUGGAUUAGACUUAGUUUGAAGUAUUGUUUGAAAAUUCAUGUACGUUAUUCAGAAUCUAGCUUAUAUUAUUUUGUGGUGUAUUGUAAAGCGCAUGCCAGCUAGCUAUCAUUGUAUGUAUGGCACUAUAUGAAACUUUAUUUAUUCAUUCAGAACAUUUAACAAAAAAAAAAAGAAAAAAAGAAAGAAAAAAAAACUGACCUCCAUGUCCUCUGGACAAAAUAAAAAUAUAAUUUCCAAGAUUCGACAUAAAAGCAUUUAUCUUAUUAAAAUAUUUAGUAAUUGUUGAAAUUAACUUAAUGCUGCCUCAACUGAAUAGUUGCAUAAACAACAAUGUCCACUGUUAAUGCACGAGGACAUAAACUCUCCUUCAUCCCUGCCUGAGCUGAUAGUUUGUCAGUGACCUGCCUCUCUGCUCUAACUUUGGGCAUGGCAGUACAGCUGGAGGCACAUCAGCUGCUGUUGUUGUUUCAUCUACUGUAUCUGUGCUUCUACAUACAGUAUAUAUGUGUGAGGAAGCUGCAUGCAUGGAGCUGAACUGCUCUGCUGUGGACUCGGUGCCCUGGCCGUACAGUGUCCAUGUUGGUGUGGGAGCCUGAGGCCUGCUCCCAUACAUCCCUGCUCUGGCUCUGUUGAUCCUAUUGUCUCCUGCGUCACCACACGUCGCCCGGCAAAUAAAGGCUGUCUGGCUCCAAGCUUAAAUAUUGCAGCAAACUAAAAACCAACCAUCAGAGCCGAUUCAUUCACAUCUGCUCAGUGGGGCGACAAGGACAGGGCUUUAGGUGGGAAAGAGGGCAGAAAAAAGUUCACUUUUCCCUGCCGGGUGCCAAGAGAACGGGACAGGACUCAACUUCACUGGAGCCGCAGCUGUGGCAAGUUGCCCAUUUGAUUACAUUUAACCUAUAUCAUACCUUACAGAAGAGGGGACUGCAUAUUACUCACUGAUCUCUCUUUAUUGGUUUUUAUUUGUGAGUUGUUGUGUGACAUUUUUAGAGCUAGAGCAAGAGAUUUUUUUGGUUUGCACCUCAAUGCUCAUUAUUAAUGCUAGUUAAUAAUGUUUACAUUGAAAACAACCAGCCUGCAGUACAGCUAAAUCAACGUCUUGCUAAACAUUUUAAUCUAUUAUUUAAGAGUUUUUUUAAUCUUCUUGCAGUGGGAACAGAAUGGGCUUUGGAUUUUAGUUUUUUAAAAUGUUCUGAUUCUCCAGGUUUUCUCACAGAAACAUGUGCAAUAGCAUGUAAUCAUGGCUAAAGUUUGAUUUUUUUUCUUUACUUUUUUGAGUUUUCCUCUCCUACAUUUCUUACUUUUGGCACUCUCUAUUCCCCUCCCCCUGUCUGGCCUGCAUACCCCACCCUCCCUGUCCGUCUGCACCCUGCAUGUCCCUCCCUACCCCACCCUUCAUUCCGCAGUGCUACGGACCGAUCAUGGGUGACUGGAGCUUUCUGGGUAAUAUUUUAGAGGAAGUUAACGAGCACUCUACGGUGAUCGGCCGAGUGUGGCUCACAGUGCUCUUUAUCUUCCGUAUCCUCAUCCUGGGCACGGCGGCGGAGUUUGUGUGGGGCGAUGAGCAGUCUGACUAUGUCUGCAACACACAGCAGCCCGGAUGUGAGAAUGUGUGCUACGAUGAGGCCUUCCCCAUCUCCCACAUCCGCCUGUGGGUGCUGCAGAUCAUCUUUGUGUCCACACCUUCUCUGGUGUACGUGGGUCACGCUGUGCACCAUGUCCACAUGGAGGAGAAACGUAAAGAGCGUGAAGAGGCAGAACUUAGCCGGCAGCAGGAGCUGAGCGAGGAGCGUCUCCCUCUGGCACCCGACCAGGGAAGUGUCCGCACCACUAAGGAGACCAGCACAAAAGGAAGCAAGAAGUUCCGGCUGGAGGGCACCCUGCUGAGGACCUACAUCUGCCACAUCAUCUUCAAGACACUGUUUGAGGUGGGUUUCGUGGUGGGCCAGUACUUUCUGUACGGCUUCCGUAUCCUACCACUGUACAAAUGCAGCCGCUGGCCCUGCCCCAACACGGUGGACUGCUUUGUGUCCAGACCCACGGAGAAGACUGUCUUCAUCAUCUUCAUGUUGGCUGUGGCCUGUGUCUCACUCUUCCUCAACUUUGUGGAGAUCAGUCACCUGGGCCUUAAGAAGAUUCGCUUUGUCUUUCGUAAGCCAGCCCCGGCCCCAGCCCAUGGUGAGGGGCCAGCCCCCCUGCCACUACAAGGGAAGAGCCUGCCUCCUCUGGCUGUGCCCUCCCUGCAGAGGGUGAAAGGUUACAGGCUGCUGGAGGAGGAGAAAGCUCCCCCCAUAACUCACCUCUACCCACUGGCUGAGGUGGGCAUGGAGGCUGGCAGAGGGGCUCCACCCUUCCAGGGGCUGGAGGAGAAGUCGGAGGAGGUGCUGCCUAUGGAGGGCAUCUCUAAGGUGUAUGACGAGACUCUGCCCUCCUACGCCCAGACCACUGAGACAGGGGGGGUGACAUUACACGAGGAGGAGGUAGAGGAGGUGCAGCCGCCAGAGGCGGAGGUGGAGGCAGUGGCAGUGGCAGUGCCAGAGCCAGAGCCAGAGCCAGAGAGGGUGGAGGAGGCUGUGGAUGAGGAUGUGGAGGUAGAGGAGGUGGUGAACAGGGAGGCGGUAACUCCAGCUGAGGCAGGGAUGGAGGCCACGGAUACGAUAGAAGACACCAGACCACUGAGCCGACUGAGCAAAGCCAGCAGCAGGGCCAGUUAGGCACUGACUUUCAUUCCCAUUCAGACAGUGGCAUACUGCAAAAGCAGCAUAUGGCCACAAAAGUUGCAGGUGCAAUGGAAUAUCUCUCUAGAUAUUUGAGCACCAACAAGGCAACAUCUCUGAUAUGUUGUGUGUUCUGGAUUUUCUCACCGGCAGAAGGGGACAUCAUCUCAGAGGUGGCUGGCAGCAGUGUGAGCAUGCACUGUAACAACAAUUCAAUCAACACACUCCAACAGCUGACAUGGAGACUAAAUGGAGUUACUCUGAUCAGCUUUAAACCACCAACUGAAACAUACGUCAAUGAAAAAGCUAACAGCCUUAACAUAAACAUGUCUAAGUCAGAGAGCCAACUGUACGCACUGAUCAUAGAGAGUCUCCAGGAGUCUCAUAUAGGAAACUACACCUGCGACACAGCUACGGAAACUGGAACAUGGAAACAGACCUGGGAGCUGAUUGUAAUUACAGAGCACAAAGAGACUGAAAAGCUGGUGAUUAUUGUGUCAGUUAUUGUUCCUUGCACAUGUUGCCUGAUCUUUAUAUUUGCUUUGACCAUUCUGCGAAGAGUUUACAAUCGGCGUGCGAGAAACAGCAGUCAGGCUCCCACUGCAGAAAUGGAGGAAACAGAGGAUAUUUAUGAGAAUUGCCUGGAAACUAAUCGUAGUCGACAGCACAGACAUUGUCAGCCUCAUCACUACAAGCCCAGAGCUUUUUGAUAUUACGUGCAAUCCAGAAAUCCAGAAAGGGAAGGAGACUGCAAAAAGGACGGGGGGGCUGGAGGUACAUGGCAAAUGAGCACUGCAACUACAACCAAAGAAAACCUUACUUAUAUUAUGAAAACUUUUAAUCUCUGCUUUCUUAAGACAUAUACUAUAUGUAAUGAAGAGCAUAAUCAUUGCUUAAAAGCUGCAUCACCUAAUAAAGUUGUUAUGGUAAAUGUG